rnacentral:ncRNA from 1 species
AUCUAGCAUCAGGAGUGAGCGAAAGCUCCGCCAACCUGCCCUCCCAGGCAAGGUGGCGCAGAAUGUGGCCUCAUUGAGGCAAUCAACUGGGAUUCA